rnacentral:rRNA from 1 species
AACAGGAUUAGAUACCCUGGUAGUCCACGCUGUAAACGAUGUCGACUCGGAGGUUGCUCCCUUGAGGAGUGGCUUCCGGAGCUAACGCGUUAAGUCGACCGCCUGGGGAGUACGGCCGCAAGGUUAAAACUCAAAUGAAUUGACGGGGGCCCGCACAAGCGGUGGAGCAUGUGGUUUAAUUCGAUGCAACGCGAAGAACCUUACCUACUCUUGACAUCCAGAGAACUUAGCAGAGAUGCUUUGGUGCCUUCGGGAACUCUGAGACAGGUGCUGCAUGGCUGUCGUCAGCUCGUGUUGUGAAAUGUUGGGUUAAGUCCCGCAACGAGCGCAACCCUUAUCCUUUGUUGCCAGCGGUCCGGCCGGGAACUCAAAGGAGACUGCCAGUGAUAAACUGGAGGAAGGUGGGGAUGACGUCAAGUCAUCAUGGCCCUUACGAGUAGGGCUACACACGUGCUACAAUGGCAUAUACAAAGAGAAGCGACCUCGCGAGAGCAAGCGGACCUCAUAAAGUAUGUCGUAGUCCGGAUUGGAGUCUGCAACUCGACUCCAUGAAGUCGGAAUCGCUAGUAAUCGUGGAUCAGAAUGCCACGGUGAAUACGUUCCCGGGCCUUGUACACACCGCCCGUCACACCAUGGGAGUGGGUUGCAAAAGAAGUAGGUAGCUUAACCUUCGGGAGGGCGCUUACCACUUUGUGAUUCAUGACUGGGGUGAAGUCGUAACAAGGUAACC